CGUCGAGCCCCUUCCAAGGCGGGCGGCUGGAUGGUGGCUGUCUCAGUACUGUGACCCUGGGGAGGGGUGAAGGGAUAAAGUCUGUCUUUACGGGCGUUCCUGUAACCUCUUUGCUACUGCUAUCUCCUAAGGCUUGAAAGCCGUCAUUGAACACAUGAAGUAAAAAGCUAGGGAGGAAAGGAAGACGGAGAAAAGCAGGCUGAGAACUUUGCACACAACAUGAUGGUGUUUCAGCCUGUGCUGUGUGUGAGGUCACUGCUGGCCUGUGGGCAGGACAGUCAAGGACAGACGUUUCUUUGUAGGACAAAACUGCUGCUUCGAUGAGAUCAGAGAGGAGAGAAGAGGAGAGACCUCCCUGCCCAGGCUGCUCAUAAGGCUUUCCGGGGAGGUGACACAUCAGUCCGGGUGGAGACUCUGCAGAAAGGGUCGUUUUGAACAUUUUAAGAUUAGCCCAGAAGGCCCAUCAUAUUCAAAUUUGACUUACAGAAUUGUCAUAUAAAAUAACCACAUUUUUACCGGAAAAUAUAAUUGUACCUCAGAAAAAAAAAAACACCAACCCUGUUAUUCUAAUCCAGCAAACUCAUUUAAGGGCCAGAUCAAAGGUGAACAUAGUGGUGGAGAAUGUACUAUGACAGCUGCACACUAUUUUUCCAGGUCAUUCCCUUUGUCAGGGGUAGUCUUUUCUUUCCCUCUUGAAAUAGAAGUUUUAUGAUUUCAGAAAGGCAGACACGGUGCAGACAAAAGUUACUUAAAUAAUAAAGCUUGUUUUCAACACCA